GCAGUCGAGCGGCAGCGGGGGUGCUUGCACCUGCCGGCGAGCGGCGAACGGGUGAGUAAUACAUCGGAACGUACCCAUGUGGUGGGGGAUAACUACUCGAAAGAGUAGCUAAUACCGCAUACGCCCUGAGGGGGAAAGCGGGGGAUUCUUCGGAACCUCGCGCCAUUGGAGCGGCCGAUGUCGGAUUAGCUAGUAGGUGGGGUAAAGGCUCACCUAGGCGACGAUCCGUAGCUGGUCUGAGAGGAUGAUCAGCCACACUGGGACUGAGACACGGCCCAGACUCCUACGGGAGGCAGCAGUGGGGAAUUUUGGACAAUGGGCGCAAGCCUGAUCCAGCCAUGCCGCGUGAGUGAAGAAGGCCUUCGGGUUGUAAAGCUCUUUCAGUCGGGAAGAAAAGGCGCGCUCUAACAUAGCGCGCUCAUGACGGUACCGACAGAAGAAGCACCGGCUAACUACGUGCCAGCAGCCGCGGUAAUACGUAGGGUGCGAGCGUUAAUCGGAAUUACUGGGCGUAAAGCGUGCGCAGGCGGUUGUGUAAGACAGGUGUGAAAUCCCCGGGCUUAACCUGGGAACUGCGCUUGUGACUGCACGGCUAGAGUACGGCAGAGGGGGGUGGAAUUCCACGUGUAGCAGUGAAAUGCGUA
rnacentral:rRNA from 1 species